ensembl:misc_RNA Metazoa_SRP Metazoan signal recognition particle RNA
GUUUAGUGGCACACUAUUUUAGUCCCAGCUACUUAGGAGGCCGAGGUGGGAGGAUCACUUGAACCCAGAAGUUAUGGGCUACAGUGCACUAUGCCAAUCAGGUGUCUGCACUAAAUUCAGCAUCAAUGGUGACCUCCCAGGAGCAGGGGACUACCAGGAUGCCUAAGGAGGGGUGAACUGGCCCAAGCGGGAAAGAGCAGGUCAAAACUCCCGUGCUGAUCAGUAGUGGGAUCACAACUGUGAAUAGCUACUAUUCUUCAUCCUGGGUAACAUAGCAAGACUUCUAUCUCUU